GAUAAACAGGUCUGGGUGGAGCCCAGUCCUCCGGAGGUUUGAGGAGCUAAGCAGAUGAUUCUAAAGCACAGCAAAGUUGAGACACUAAAUGCUGGGCGUGGGUACGAGCAAUGCUGCCAUCAUUUCAAUUGCGGGCUGGGCCAAAUCUUUGUGCUCAGCAAAGACCUUUUCACCAGGGGCGUGAAUAGAGGUAAGUGAGGUGGCCACUUUCUCCCAGCCCAGUUUGGUUCCUACCCAAAGGGGCAUCGCAGUGCUGUGGCUCUGCUCUGUGUGCAGGAAUGUCUUCCCUGAAGGCAUGGAGAUCCACGGAGGGUUGUGCUCUCUUGAGUUGGUGAAUAAAUAAUCAAGGACAUUCUUUAGCUGAAUGGUACCUCUGAGCAGGAAGUGUGGUCCUACCACAGCAGGUCUUGUUUGAAUGGCUGUAUGGAUUUUGCAUGAAUCACCCCUGUCCAACGCUGGAGACACCCUUUCCAGAAGAUCCUGAUUCCAGUCUGCAUCCAUCAACCAGUUGCAAGGCUCUUGGAAGCAUCUCUGGGCUUUUGAGCGAUUUCACUCGACCAGAAAACCCAGUGGCUGGACUGAGGAGCAGUCAUGAGACGGAAGCCACGGCAGAUGGAAGCUGGACAUUGCUUUGAUCAGAUGCUCAAGUGACAGGGGACGAGAGCUACCACCUCCAACUUUCCACAAGCUCUUGCUUGCAGUGCCCAUGUCAGGGCUGAGAUGCUUGCUUAAGGUCAGUCAGCUAUGACUCCCUGCCCUCCACCCCGCAUCCCAAGCCCAUGCUGUACACAGUCCUCUGGCCACUUGAAUAUAUGACUCAUUUUAAUAUUUUGUUUUGCAAAUGCAGCCUGACCUUUUAGCACAGUUAAAACUUUGAAAACAAACCUAUGCUUGAAGGAGAGAGGAAAUAAGGCUGUAUAAUCCUGACUUGGCCUUACCUGCCUGCCACAGCAGGGCCUUACCCGACUGCCGCCUCCGGCAUCCAACGCAAUCUGCCUUACUCUUUGGGCUUCUUGGUGAGUGUCUCCAGGAGACCAUGGCAUUCCUUCCUGGAGGAGAGAUUCCUGAGGCCCAGAGGUAUCUGGCUCCAGUUCACUUAAGCGAACAAGGCUCUAACGUUAGGCUUUGCCGUCUCUGAGACUACAAGAUUUCUGGAUGUCUCAUUUACUUUCUAUUAAUAGACAUGGGUCGUUAUGGUUUAUGUAUACACUUAUGUGUCAGAAUUCAACCAUUCAUAGCCAUAUCAUGACUAGUGGUUUAAACUCCAACCUCAGAGCAAUAAAUCCCAUAAAAAUUCC
rnacentral:lncRNA from 1 species